rnacentral:sRNA from 1 species
AGGGGCGGCCCUCCUUGGGCGUUUCCUCCCUAAACUUGGCCCCGUCAGCUUUGGCUGGCGGAGCCUUUUUUGUUUUUGU